AUCAUAAUCAACUCUUACGGGAGAAGAACUUAAAGCUCUGCUUUGUUUUUAACCUUUUUUUGCCAAAGUGGAGUUUCUCUUAGAUUUAAUUUGUAAAUCUGACUUUUUCAUUAAUAUGAAUAUUAACAGUUUAGCAAAAAAAAAUCAACUCUUAUAUAACCAUUUGGUGUUGGGCCACGUAUUUUAAGCCUAUAACUUUUUAAAAACAAAAAAUAAAUAUUUAAUUUUCCUUUGAUAUAAAAUAUUACUUUAAUCCUUUAGAGCACCCCUAUAAUGGGGGAGUUCACACAGAAAUCAAGAAAAAAAUAAAAUAAAAUAAUUCAAUCACAUGAACCGUUCUCUCCUAAAACUCUCUCGGCUGAACUCUUCUCUCCUAAAGUUCAUCACUGUAGCGCGGGCUCCACGUAUCGUGGCGGUCCGCGAUUGGUUUAGUUUUUUUUUUUUUUAAAUAAAAAAAAAAAGAAAAAAAUUUAAUAAUAAAAAAUUAAAAAGAUGAACCCCAAGAGAGGGUUCAUUGAUGUGGGUGCUCUUAGUUUACAUACUAAAUACAAAAAAACUAUUAUACCACUACUUCUUUCUUCUAGAAAUAUAUAAUGUAUUUUAUAAAAUGAACGACAUGUACGAGUGAUUGAGUAAUUACCAUCGCUCUAA
rnacentral:lncRNA from 1 species